AUAUAUUUUAUUUUGGUAUAAAUAAUUUCUUGUUUCUUUUAUUUACAUGUAAAUUAUUGUUUAACUAUUUGAAAUAUUUUCGACAGUAAAUAUUUUUAAUUCUAAAAGAAAUUUUGAUUUAGAAAUUGAUUUUAGAAUUAACUAAUUUUGUGCCAGCAGUUGCGGUUAAACAACGAAUUCAAAGAAAUUUAAGAAUAAUAUUAAUUAUAAUGGUAAAGUGGGUGAAUAUAUUAAAUUUUAAGGUAAAAUUUUAAAUUUAAAGUAAUAUCUAAUUUUAUAAAUUGAGAAAUUAUUCAUUGGACCAGGAUUAGAUACCCUGUUAUUUUUAUGUAAAUUUUUGGAGUAGUAAAAGCUAAGAUCUUGAAACUCAAAAAAUUUGGCGGUAUUUUAUCUUAUCAGAGGAAUCUGUUUGUUAAUUGAUAAUCCACAAUUAUAACUUACUUUUAUUAAGAUACUUGUAUACCGCUGUCAUGAAUAUAUUAAGAAAUUUUAUUUUCUUUUUUUUUAUGGAGUUUAUGUUAGGUCAAGGUGCAGUAUUUAAAAGAAAAAAAUGGGUUACAUUAAAUACUAUGAAUGGAAUUAGUUAAAUUUUAACUAAGAAAAUAGGAUUUGAAAGUAAAAGGAUUAUAUAACAAUUAAAUGAAUAUAGAUUCUAAAAUAUGUACACAUUGCCCGUCGCUCUUGCUUAAAGUAAGAUAAGUCGUAACAUAGUAGGUGUACCGGAAGGUGUAUCUGGAAUUAAA
rnacentral:ncRNA from 1 species